rnacentral:lncRNA from 10 species
UACUCUGUUGCCCAGGCUGGAGUGCAGUGGCAUGAUCUCGGCUCACCACAACCUCUGCCUCCUGGGUUCAAGCGAUUCUCCUGCCUUAUCUUCCCAAAUAGCUGGGACUACAGGCGUGUGCCACCAUGCCCGGCUAAUUUUUGUAUUUUUAAUAGAGACGGGGUUUCACUAUGUUGGCCAGGCUGGUCUCGAACUACUGACCUAAUGAUCUGCUCGCCUCAGCCCCCCAAAGUGUUGGGAUUACAGGCGUGAACCUUUGCGCCUGGCCCAUUUUUCUUUUUUUAAAAUUUGAGACAGUCUCGCUCUGUUGCCCAGGCUGAAGUGCGGUGAUGUGAUUUUAGUUCACUUCAGCCCCAACCUCCCUGUCUCAAGUGAUCCUCCUGCCUCAGCCUCCCAAGUAGCUGGGAGCACAGGCACAUGCAAUCACAUCUGGCUAAUUUUUGUGUUUUUAGUAGAGAAGGGGUUUCGCCAUGUUGCCCAGGCUGGUCUCAAACUCCUGGGCUCAAGCAAUCUGUCUGCCUUGGCCUCCCAAACUGUUGGGACUACAGGUGUGAGCCAUGACACCAGCCUCAUUUCUUUUUAAAUUAUUGAAUAGUAUUCCAUUAGAUGGAUGUGCCACCCUUUGCUUAUUCAUUUACCUUUUGAAGGAUAUUUUGGUUGCUUUUCGUUUUCAGAAAUUAUGAAUAAAGCUGCUGGGAAUAUUCCUGUGCAGGUUUCUGUGUGGACAUAAGUUUUCAACUCAUUUGGGUAAGUGCAGAGGAGUGCAAUUGCGGUUUGUAUGGUAAGACUAUGUUUAGCUUUGUAAGAAACUGCAAAGCUGCCUUCCAUAGUGGCAGUUCCAUUCUGCAUUCCCACCAGCAAUGAAGGAGGGUGGCUGUUGCUCUGUGUCCUUGUCAGCAUUCUUCUAAGACUUUAGCCGUUCUAAAAGUGUGUAGUGGUAUCUCAUGGAAGUUACUUUCAAGUCUAUUUUUAUAGGUGGAGAAUACGCGUGUAUCUGAUGUGCACAGGAAUCCCUCAUUGCUGAGGGACGCCUUCGUGAAAUAGUUUAAAAAUACGGACUAUGAUUUCUAACCAGCAAGCGAAGGCAGCAGAAUGCGCAGCAGCUCUGACAUAAAGAAAGUUGAGCGGAAAUGCAGCGAACUCUGGGUGAGGCAUCUGAAAGAAGCCUUUUUUUUCUUUCUUCCUUUUUUCUAUAUGUGUCUGUUUUUCAAAAGUGCCCAUUGAUUUGAUUUUUGAGAUACGAGGCUUUUGACUUUUCUUAAAGCAUUUCCCAGAAGAGCAGAAAAGCUGAAUGCUAUUAACAUGAUCCCAGGCCCCUGGGUGUGUACGUGCACGUAUGCGUGAGUGUGUGUGUGUAUGGGCGUGCGCGUGUGUGCAGUUUUUGAUAACUUCAGAAAAUAUUUUGGAAAGUCUUGGGCCCAGUCCUGGAUGUUUACAGAAAAGUAAUCAUGGAUCCCUUCAAAGCCUGUUGUAGAAGAGAAAGAUAAAGGAAACAGCAAGGCACCAAAAACCCAUUUAUGCUCAGGAGGCAGGCGCUCUGGAUAGGGAAGACAGCCGAGCUCCAUGCAAGGUAAGGCAGGGGAGCUUUCUCAGCUCCUGGGAAACGCUGCCAGGGCCAGCCAGUGGCUCAGCCCUACCCCCUCAGAAGCUGGAGCUGAGUUUAUGGCAAAUCCCCCAUCUGGGAGCUCAAGUGAGCAGAGGAACAAGGCUGAAUCACACACUGUUUCAUUUUCUAAGGUGCUCACAGACCCGCUCUCUCACCUGGUUUCAAGGUCAACAUCAUGAGGGAGCACCGUGAACUCCUCUGUAGGAGUGAGGCUCAGUGAGAUUACAGGGCGGGCCACGGGGCUACUGCUAGGGAGUGGCAGCUGGGUUCUCAGGCUCUAAGCCUCCUCCUGCAGCCACCACUGGUCUUUUCCAGCCACAGACGUAGUAGCUCUCCCCAACCCCUCCCACCCGUGUUGCCUCCAUUGAACAAACAUUUAUUGAGCACUAACUGCAUGCCAAGUUCUGUGCUGGCAGGGUCUUAAAGAGGGGAAGCAACUGUGCGUGGUCCAGCCCUCAGGGGCCCUGGGCUCUGUGCCCCUGGUCAAAGUCAAUGUCAGCUGUUCUUGGUGGGGGAACCCCUGAACUGCAGGAAUAGGCACAGUGCCCAGCUCCUCUCCCAAAGCUGCAACGACCGCAAGGCUCACUCUGCCCAGGGAACUGGAGGAAACCAAGGCUCAGUCAGACCUCCAGACCUCCACCCUGACCCGUUCAGGGACACCUGGGAGUCCGGGGCCUGGCCCUCACUCCCAGCGUGGGAGCAGACAUCUGCUAUGCUGCCGGCUGCUGGGAGACCUGCCUGGCCCUGGGCACUCGGGCUCUAUUAAAUUGUUAAUACAACCAUUAGAGUAUCAGCGUAUUAUCUCUCUGCCCAGGAGGGAUCUGAUGCUAUUCACACUUCUGUCGGUUCAUUUUUAUUUAUCUGGCUUUCACCUUGAUGGAUAACAGGUUUAUACAAAGCCCUGGUGCAUUUGAAAUAUGCCAAAGGAGGGGAACAGGAGAUGGGAGACGGCCACUAUGGGGGCUGCGUUUCACGAGGCCAUCCCCACCCCCGGCCCCCAGGCCAUCUGUGAGUCAUGCAGGGCUUAUUCCA